AGCAGCCGCGGUAAUUCCAGCUCCAAUAGCGUAUAUUAAAGUUGUUGCAGUUAAAAAGCUCGUAGUUGAACUUCAGGCCUGGCUGGACGGUCCGCCCUCUGGGUGAGCACUGUCUGUGGUCGGGUCCUACCUUCUGGCGAAGCGGCAUGGCCUUAACCGGCCGUGGCGGGGAACCAGGACUUUUACUGUGAAAAAAUUAGAGUGUUCAAAGCAGGCACGCGCUUGAAUACAUUAGCAUGGAAUAAUGGAAUAGGACAAUGGUUCUAUUUGUUGGUUUCUAGGACCGUUGUAAUGAUUAAUAGGGAUAGUUGGGGGCAUUAGUAUUCAAUUGUCAGAGGUGAAAUUCUUGGAUUUAUUGAAGACUAACUACUGCGAAAGCAUUUGCCAAGGAUGUUUUCAUUAAUCAAGAACGAAAGUUAGGGGAUCGAAGACGACCAGAUACCGUCGUAGUCUUAACCAUAAACUAUGCCGACUAGGAAUCGGGCGAUGUUGACAAAAUGACGCGCUCGGCACCU
rnacentral:rRNA from 1 species